UAGGGUAAUAGUUAUUUAUAAUAUCUAAUUUGCAUUUAGAAGGAGCUAAUAAAGCUUACCUU
rnacentral:tRNA from 1 species